UGAAAUUGUUCCUCACGCUACAGCACAUAAAUUAUAUACAGUAUGUAAUUGUGGAGACUGAUAGCAAUUCCCAGCAGCCUCUGCAGCUGCUCAGAGGGUCAGAUGUAUAUCACAUGACCAGUGUCAGGUGGUACAGCAAGGGACAGUUGAAAAGUGAGCGGCAGUUGGGCAGAGGGGCCCUGAGGUAAACGCUGUGGGAGACUGACUGUGCUGUGAGGGGACAGCUGGCAGCACAAGUGAGUGAGAGCAGAGUUUGAGCUGUGACCCUCUCAGGAGUCCUGGUGACGUCGGGCGUAAGGGGUCACUGAUCCGCCCCAGAGGGCAAGUAGAUGUAGAGCCCAUCGACCGAGGACCAGUACAGAGGAAUGGCCUGCUCCAAUUUGAUAGCUGCAGGCUGAGAAACUGAGAGAGGCAGAUUGUGAGGCGGAGCCACUCGCCAUAUAAGGCUGCAGGAGGUCAGUUACUGCCCAGACAACUGGAGAGGUGUCCCCCUGACGUUCUCUGCAGCAGGAUGAAGACAGCUGAUCUCCUCUGUGCCAUAGAGGCUGCUACUGCGGAGAUGCGUUGGGAGUCACAUGACACUGUGACAUCAUUCUUGGCUGGUUGUCUUCACUGAAGUUCCCAGGGUCAAGAGAACGUGUCUGGAGGAGGGGGAGUUAUAGAUCCAGAGGGAAACAGUGAGGACAAGAGGAGAAAAGAUCUUCAGGGAUAAAAAGAGAUGAGAAUGCAACAAUAAGUACAACAGAGAUGUGAGGGGGCUCUUUCAGGAGGUAAAGGGCCGGAUUCUGAGUCGCAUGCAAAAGUGCGCGCAGCAGCAUCUAUAGUCUGCAAGUUUAUGCAAAUGGCCUGCAAACGCCUUCCCUUGUGUGCAUUACAGUGGCAGAAUGUACGAGGACUAUGAGACACCCACUUUUAGCGCCUGUGAUGCUGCAAUACCGACCAGUGGCUCCUUAUACACCACCAUCAGAAUAUAUCAGCUUAAGGGGCCCAUUUGCAGCAUUGUGGCAGUCACCAUGGGUUACAGCAGGACUUACAGUCACAUGUCGUGACUGUGUGCAUUCUGUGUUCCCUGAGCAAAUUGUGCACGGUAUUAUGUUUGAUAGCCUGGGCGUGACCCUGAGGUGAAUUAUUAUUAAUUCUCCCAAAAACGGUAUAUGUGUUAAACGUCUGUAACUUG